ACGAACGCUGGCGGCUGCUUAACACAUGCAAGUACAACGGAGUGGCGAACGGGUGAGUAACGCGUGAGAAACCUGCCUAUGACAGUGGGAUAGCCUCGGGAAACCGGGAUUAAUACAGCAUAUUCAUAGAUGGGCUCGCGUCUGAUUAGCUAGUUGGUGAGAUAACAGCCCACCAAGGCGACGAUCAGUAGCCGGUCUGAUAGGAUUAACGGCCACAUUGGAACUGAGACACGGUCCAAACUCCUACGGGAGGCAGUAGUGGGGAAUAUUGCACAAUGGGGGGAACCCUGAUGCAGCGACGCCGCGUGAACGAAGAAGGUAUUCGUAUCGUAAAGUUCUGUCCUAUGGGAAGCAGUACCAUAGAAGAAAGCUCCGGCUAAAUACGUGCCAGCAGCCGCGGUAAUUC
rnacentral:rRNA from 1 species